rnacentral:rRNA from 1 species
ACUCAAAUGAAUAGACGGGGGAGCACCACAACGGGUGGAGCCUGCGGUUUAAUCGGACUCAACGCCGGGAAUCUCACCGGAUAAGACAGCUGAAUGAUAGUCGGGAUGAAGACUCUACUUGACUAGCUGAGAGGAGGUGCAUGGCCGUCGUCAGUUCGUACUGUGAAGCAUCCUGUUUAGUCAGGCAACGAGCGAGACCCACGCGAGCAGUUGCCAGCUUGACCUUUGGGUUGAUGGGGACACUGCUCGGACCGCCUCUGCUAAAGGGGAGGAAGGACUGGGCAACGGUAGGUCAGCAUGCCCCGAAUUAUCCGGGCUACACGCGGGCUACAAUGGACAGGACAAUGGGUUUCGACACCGAGAGGUGAGGAUAAUCUCCUAAACCUGUCCCAAGUUCGGAUUGCGGGUUGUAACUCACCCGCAUGAAGCUGGAAUCCGUAGUAAUCGCGUUUCAACAUACCGCGGUGAAUAUGUCCCUGCUCCUUGCACACACCGCCCGU